UGGGGAAUAUUGGGCAAUGGCCGAAAGGCUGACCCAGCGACGCCGCGUGCGGGAGGAAGCCCUUCGGGGUGUAAACCGCUGUCGGGAGGGACGAAAGAGUCGUGAGUGAAUAAUUCACGGCAGUGACGGUACCUUCAAAGGAAGCACCGGCUAACUCUGUGCCAGCAGCCGCGGUAAUACAGAGGGUGCAAGCGUUGUUCGGAAUUACUGGGCGUAAAGCGCGCGCAGGCGGGUCUGUAAGUCGGAAGUGAAAUUGCACUGCUCAACGGUGUAGCUGCUUCUGAUACUGCAGAUCUUGAGACCGGUAGAGGUUGGUGGAAUUGCAGGUGUAGCGGUGGAAUGCGUAGAGAUCUGCAAGAACACCCGUGGCGAAGGCGGCCAACUGGGCCGGUGCUGACGCUGAGGCGCGAAAGCGUGGGGAGCAAACAG
rnacentral:rRNA from 1 species